rnacentral:lncRNA from 1 species
ACCGGAGGGAGAGCCCGACCUCCCAGACCCCAAGGUAGACGGGCGACGCCCCCCGCCCCCACCCAGGGGUCUUGAAACCUCCGCGCCAGGACGCGCUAGGUACCUGGAAAGGGGGAGGUGGGCGAGGCGGGGCGUGGUGCCCCACGGGCCCGCGGCCCAGACCCUGACCACCGCCUCCGCCCGCGGGCCUCGGGCGCUACCAGCCCGUGACGCGGGGCCUGCCCGGCCCUGGCCAACAGCCGCCUGGAGUCCCUACAGCCGCCGCCACCAGCCCCGACGACCCCCCCCCACCCCCAUUUCAACCCCGAAAAGGAGCAGAACCCCACCGCGCGCCCAGACGGCACCCUCCUCUUCCCCCACAGCCGUGGCCCGUCCCCGCACCCACGUCCCAGGCACCCUUUCCCCUGCCACCGAGGGCAGAGGGACGCUCCGACGGGAAGCGUGGCGCAGUCGGGCAGGAGCACGACAGAGGAAGGGCGCGAGAGAGCCGGCCGGCCGGUCGGAGGGCACUCCCCAGGCUCGGAGGGCGGGGAGAGGCGCCUGGCGACCUGGCGGAGAGCAGAGCAAAGGACAAGCGACGACCGGCCGGGAAGACUGGUCCAGGGCCGGCGGCGACCGGCAGGCGAGCGGCCCCGCCGCGCAGCCUGCGAGAUGCACCGGACGCUCCGGACUGUGCCGUCACGACCGGGGACAGUCCUGGCCACCGCCAGAGGCGAAGGUGUGUAGCCGGGGGAACCUCGGCCCCCCAGCCUCGAGGCUUGAUUUUGGGAGAACACAACAGGCCAAGUUUGAUUGUCAUCUUUGCAGCUACAAGUAAGGCAUGAAAUCUGUAAAUGAGAAUUGACAUCUUUACAAUGAUGUAUAUCCCAUCAGUAAGUAUGAUAUACUGCCCCAUUUAUCUGAGACUUACUUUACCUGAAUUUAUCAGUAAACUUUUAUAGUUGCCUCAAUAAAGAUCUAAAGUGUUUUUGUGAUGAUUCUUUU